GCCAGAGGUGGUAGCAGAAACCUGUAAUCCCUGCUACUGAGGGAGGCUGAGGCUGGUGGAUAGCUUGAGUUCAGGAGUUCUGAGAUAUAGUAGGUCUAAAGCAUAUCAGGUGUCUGCACUAAGCCUAGUACCAAUAUGGUGAGCCUCUAGGAGUGAGGGGUCCCCAGGCUGCCUAGGAAGGGGCAAACUAGCUCAUGUCAGAAAUAAAAAGAGUCAAAGCUUCUUUCUUGAUCAGCAGUGGGGUCAGGCCCGUCAGUAGAGGCUGUACUGUCAGCUUCAGCAAAAUAAAGGAGACAGACUGAGUCUCA
rnacentral:SRP_RNA from 1 species